UUUGAUGUUAUCUGUUACAGGAAUUAUCAAGUCGAGAUGCUUCCCCAAAACACAGGAAACCUAUUCAGGAUUCCCUAAUUGAAGAUAAAGGGGAGGAGGAAUUACAAUGUUUAGAUGCUUCCCCAAAAGACAGGGAACUUAUUCAGGACUCCCAAACCGAAGCUAAAGGGGAUGAAGAGAAACAAUCAAGUGGAGAUGCUCUUCCAAAAGACAGGGAACCUAUUAAGGUAUAAUGUCUCUCUCAUUUUCGACUCUCAUAUCUUACCCAGUUAACCUUUUAUUAGGAACUAAUCAAUUAAUUAUCUGUUAAUAGGAUUCUCAAACUGAAGGCGAUAA